rnacentral:misc_RNA from 1 species
GAUGAAGAACGUAGCGAAAUGCGAUACUUGGUGUGAAUUGCAGAAUCCCGUGAACCAUCGAGUCUUUGAACGCAAGUUGCGCCCGAAGCCAUUAGGCCGAGGGCACGCCUCCCUGGGCGUCACACGUCGUUGCCCCCCCAUCUACUCCUUCGGGAUUGCGGGGGGCGGAUGAUGGCCUCCCGUGCGCCUCGUCGCGCGGUUGGCAUAAAUGCCAAGUCCUCGGCGACGCACGCCACGACAAUCGGUGGUUGCGAAACCUCGGUUGCCCGUCGUGUGCGGUCGUCGCGCAUCGAGGGCUCGAAAAAAUUGUCGGGCUCCGGCUCGGCUUUCAACGCGACCCCAGGUCAGGCGGGGUUACCCGCUGAAUUUAAGCAUAUCAAUAAGCGGAGGA